GAUCAGUAGCUGGUCCGAGAGGACGAUCAGCCACACUGGAACUGAGACACGGUCCAGACUCCUACGGGAGGCAGCAGUGAGGAAUUUUCUGCAAUGGGCGAAAGCCUGACAGAGCAAUACCGCGUGAGGGAUGAAGACUUACUGAGUUGUAAACCUCGGUACCUUAAGGAAGAAGAUAUGACGGUACUUAAGGUGGAAAGCAUCGGCUAACUCCGUGCCAGCAGCCGCGGUAAGACGGGGGAUGCAAGUGUUAUCCGGAUUUACUGGGCGUAAAGCGUCUGCAGGUGGUUUCUUAAGUCUACUGUUAAAUCUUGAGGCUCAACCUCAAAUCUGCAGUAGAAACUAGGAGACUUGAGUAUAGUAGGGGUAGAGGGAAUUUCCAGUGGAGCGGUGAAAUGCGUAGAUAUUGGAAAGAACACCGAUGGCGAAGGCACUCUACUGGGCUAUUACUGACACUCAGAGACGAAAGCUAGGGGAGCAAAUGGGAUUAGAUACCCCAGUAGUCCUAGCCGUAAACGAUGGAUACUCGAUGUUGGACGUAUCGACCCGUUCAGUAUCUUAGCUAACGCGUUAAGUAUCCCGCCUGGGGAGUACGCUCGCAAGAGUGAAACUCAAAGGAGUUGACGGGGGCCCGCACAAGCGGUGGAGGAUGUGGUUUAAUUCGAUGCAACGCGAAGAACCUUACCAGGGUUUGCUAGAAGUGUUGGUUUCCUGAAAGGGAUUCCUUAUUCCGCUUCUACAGGUGGUGCAUGGCUGUCGUCAGCUCGUGUCGUGAGAUGUUGGGUUAAGUCCCGCAACGAGCGCAACCCUUAUUUUUAGUUCUAUUGUCUAAAAAGACUGCCGGUGACAAACCGGAGGAAGGUGAGGACGACGUCAAGUCAUCAUGCCCCUUACACCCUGGGCUACACACGUCCUACAAUGGGUAAGACAAUAAGUUGCAAAUCCGCGAGGAUAAGCUAAUCUUUCAAACUUACUCCAAGUACAGAUUGCAGGCUGCAACUCGCCUGCAUGAAGGUGGAAUCGCUAGUAAUCGCUGGUCAGCUACACAGCGGUGAAUCCGUUCCCGGGCCUUGCACUCACCGCCCGUCAAGGGCGA
rnacentral:rRNA from 1 species